rnacentral:misc_RNA from 1 species
AAGUCAUAACAAGGUUUCCGUAGGUGAACCUGCGGAAGGAUCAUUAUUGAAUUCGGCCUUUUGGCCUUAUCCAUUGAUAAACACUGUGAACCGUGGCUUCGGCCCAAACUUGAAGUCUUGAAUGUAACAUAUCAUAACAAAAUACAACUUUUAACAACGGAUCUCUUGGCUCUU